CCUACGGGGGGCAGCAGUGGGGAAUAUUGCACAAUGGGCGCAAGCCUGAUGCAGCCAUGCCGCGUGUGUGAAGAAGGCCUUCGGGUUGUAAAGCACUUUCAGCGGGGAGGAAGGCGGUGAGGUUAAUAACCUCAUCGAUUGACGUUACCCCCAGAAGAAGCACCGGCUAACUCCGUGCCAGCAGCCGCGGUAAUACGGAGGGUGCAAGCGUUAAUCGGAAUUACUGGGCGUAAAGCGCACGCAGGCGGUCUGUCAAGUCGGAUGUGAAAUCCCCGGGCUCAACCUGGGAACUGCAUUCGAAACUGGCAGGCUAGAGUCUUGUAGAGGGGGGUAGAAUUCCAGGUGUAGCGGUGAAAUGCGUAGAGAUCUGGAGGAAUACCGGUGGCGAAGGCGGCCCCCUGGACAAAGACUGACGCUCAGGUGCGAAAGCGUGGGGAGCAAACAGGAUUAGAUACCCUUGUAGUC
rnacentral:rRNA from 1 species